CCUACGGGAGGCAGCAGUGGGGAAUAUUGCACAAUGGGGGAAACGCUGAUGCAGCGACGCCGCGUGAGUGAAGAAGUAGUUCGUUAUGUAAAGCUCUAUCAGCAGGGAAGAAAAUGACGGUACCUGAGUAAGAAGCCCCGGCUAACUACGUGCCGGCAGCCGCGGUAAUACGUAGGGGGCAGGCGUUAUCCGGAUUUACUGGGUGUAAAGGGAGCGUAGACGGCAGUGCAAGUCUGGAGUGAAAGGCGGGGGCUCAACCCCCGGACUGCUCUGGAAACUGUACGGCUUGAGUGCAGGAGAGGUAAGUGGAAUUCCCAGUGUAGCGGUGAAAUGCGUAGAUAUUAGGAGGAACACCAGUGGCGAAGGCGGCUUACUGGACUGUAACUGACGUUGAGGCUCGAAAGCGUGGGGAGCAAACAGGAUUAGAUACCCCUGUAGUC
rnacentral:rRNA from 1 species